AAGUAAAAACUUCUGAAACAAUACCAGAUGGGUGCCUAUAUUUGAACGUAAGUUUUUCAAAAGCAGGACACUGUUGAUGAAACUGAUGGUGCAGGGAUGAACUUGAUGGAUAUAAAGAAAAGGACCUGGUCUGAAGUACAUUUGGAGGCCACAUUGCCCCUGGCCUGGAGGAUAAACUUGGAAAGUUAUCCCUUGCUCAUGCUGUUGCUGGUCACAUUGCUCCCUAUUUCUUGGAAAGAUACAAAAUCAAACUACAAGCUCUAGCCUCUGCGUGUUCUGGUGAUAACAGACCAGCCAUAGCCAUAACUCCUCCUGCAGGCAUAGUUCCCUGAAAGUCUGAUCACAAAACCAAGUAUGAUAGUACGAACCAUCAACAUUCACUUUAAACCACCCCGGCCCACAUGUGUCUUCCAAAGUACCACCCUCCCUUUUCAUACUCCACUUUGCUGAACUAGGAAGUUUUAACUUCCAUAUCUUCUUCCAAAAACUUGCUCUGACCGGUAGGUCAAAGGGACAUCGAGAAGAAGAAGUAGAGAAAGAAAAUCUAUAUGAAGUUUUCACCGUAAAUUUUCCAUUCUUCUCAAGGUGCCAAGCAGCUCUACCAUCAACCUCGGGAAGAUAAAGGAAUGGCCAAAAUUGCCUCUGCUUCCUCCACAGAAAAAUUACCAUGGAUCAAAGCAGUGUUCCAUAUUCCUGUAUGACUAAUUAAGUCACUCACCAAAUUACGAUCAUUUGAGGCAGCAUUACAUUGCCCAGGUUUGAAGUUUGGUACCCCAAAGGAGCCAAGAAUCACUCCACCAAUUUACUGCCCUUCCAUUACCAAUCUGCCAAUAAGUUCCUCUUCGGAACAAAUCUCUUGUAGAAAAAAUACUCCUCCAUGAGAAAGAUGGAGAAGAGCGAGGUGUCACAGUCCAAAAAGAGUCUGCUGGGAAGUACUUGGCCUUAAAAAGUCGACCAAUCAACGAGUGAGGAUUGUUAAUCAACCUCCAAGCUUUGCUUAGCUAGCAUGGCAGCAUUAAAAUCCGAUAAG